AUUGAACGCUGGCGGCAGGCCUAACACAUGCAAGUCGAGCGGAUGAAGGGAGCUUGCUCCUGGAUUCAGCGGCGGACGGGUGAGUAAUGCCUAUGAAUCUGCCUGGUAGUGGUGUAUAACGUCCUUAAACGGGCGCUAAUACCGCAUACGUCCUGAGGGUGAAAUUGGGGGUUCUUCGGUCCUCCCGCUUUCUUAUGUGCCUAGGUCGGAUUUGCUAGUUGGUUGGGUAAAGGCCUACCAAGGCGACGAUCCGUAACUGGUAUGAGAGGAUGAUCAGUCACACUGGAAGUGAGACAGGGAAAAGACGACUAGGGGAGGCAGCAGUGGGGAAUAUUGGACAAUGGGCGAAAGCAGGAUACAGAAAUGCCGCGUGUGUGAAGAAGGUAUUAGGAUUGUAAAGAACGUUAAGUAGGGAGGAAGGGAAGUAAGAUAAUACCUUGAUGUAAUGACGUUAACAAAAGAAUAAGCACCGGCUAACUUCGUG
rnacentral:rRNA from 1 species